rnacentral:rRNA from 1 species
UACGAAGGGGGCUAGCGUUGCUCGGAAUCACUGGGCGUAAAGGGUGCGUAGGCGGGUCUUUUAAGUCAGGGGUGAAAUCCUGGAGCUCAACUCCAGAACUGCCUUUGAUACUGAGGAUCUUGAGUCCGGGAGAGGUGAGUGGAACUGCGAGUGUAGAGGUGAAAUUCGUAGAUAUUCGCAAGAACACCAGUGGCGAAGGCGGCUCACUGGCCCGGUACUGACGCUGAGGCACGAAAGCGUGGGGAGCAA